UCUCCUCCGAUCUCUCUUCUGUUUCAGGAGAGAGAGUAUGUGUGUCUCCUCUGUAAAUCUGUAAGGUCAAUCUAAGAGAACCAAAAACAGAUGAAAACGAAGAUAUGAAGAAGAUAUCUUACUGUUUUUCUCUUCUUCUUCCACUUCCAAGUUGUUGCCUGAAUCUUCAGAACGCUGCAACCGAGUUCCUAGCGGAAUCCCUUUUAAAGCACCGAAUCAAAGCUUACGACAUUUCCGCGUUUAGCAGGAAAAUCCAUUAUCGUGUUUCUUCUCCUUCUCAUCUUCUCUCUCCUAAAACUUCAUCGCUGCCUCCAUGAAGUAACACUAAUACUGGAGAAGGUGCGACAUGUGAUGAAUACGAUUCUCUCAACAAGCCAACUAACAAAGUAACACUAAUACUGUUCGUUGAGAUUUAUUCUUUCAAGCUUUUCCCCUACACUUCUUGGAGUAAGCUAUUAGAAUCAGAGCGUGUGACAAGUGCGAACAGGGCAUGAAACACCGCUUCGAUAAUGGCUUAUGGAAAGGGAAAGGCAAGGAGCUUUCCGAUUUUCUAUUUGACCUGAAGAAGGUCUCGCACCUCCUGGAGCUCCAAAGUUCGGGAGAAUUAAAACUCUUUUGAGCAGAUCUAACUGAUGAAGGGAGGUUCGAUGCCACUGUCUCUGGAUGCGGCGUGGUCUUCCACGUCGCUACUCCAGUCCACUUUGCUUCUCCGGAUCCUGAGAAUGACAUGAUCAAGCCAGCAAUUCAGGGAAGGUUAAGUUUUGCUGGAGACUACAAUUCUACGCGGGACGAAGUGAUUCAUUCCUGGAAACAUGUCAAGGAAAAAACUGGAUCUGAUGCUGAGGAAAAAUACAGAGACGCGGUGAACAAAAGGCGAGGGAAAAAUAUUGCAGAGAUAGAACAGCAGCGAUGAAUGAGAAUCGGAAUCCUAUUCGUACCAAACAAUUGGUAGUUAUCCGAAUAGGAAUGGAAAUGGGUCACUUGAAUAGGAAUGUAGAAGCUUCGUACCACGCAUGCGUUGAUACCGAUAACCGGCCCCAUCUCCAUUUUGAAUCAACGAAUUGAAAGCUUUUUGGGACUUGCCCAAAUGUCAAAGAUCGGUCGCAGAGGCUACAGAUCAAACAGAAAAGAGAUCCGUUCAUGAUGUUAGAUCAUCACCCAUCAUUCACACUAAAGUGCAAAGGAAAGCACUUCAUUAAGUCGGCCAGGACGAGGGAGUUUGGUUUCGUUCACAUUUAUUCAGUAAACGUGUUUAUGGGUGGUGUUAU